UACGGGAGGCAGCAGUGGGGAAUAUUGCACAAUGGGCGAAAGCCUGAUGCAGCUAUGCCGCGUGUAUGAAGAAGGCCUUAGGGUUGUAAAGUACUUUCAUCGGGGAGGAAAAAACAAAACUAAUAAUUUUAUUUCUUGACGUUACCCGAAAAAGAAGCACCGGCUAACUCCGUGCCAGCAGCCGCGGUAAUACGGAGGGUGCUAGCGUUAAUCAGAAUUACUGGGCGUAAAGAGCACGUAGGUGGUUUUUUUAAGUCAGAUGUGAAAUCCCUGGGCUUAACCUGGAACUGCAUUUUGAAACUGAAAUACUAGAGUAUCGUAGAGGGAGGUAGAAUUCUAGGUGUAGCGGUGAAAUGCGUAGAUAUCUGGAGGAAUACCUGUGGCGAAAGCGGCCUCCUAAACGAAUACUGACACUGAGGUGCGAAAGCGUUGGGGAGCAAAC
rnacentral:rRNA from 1 species